CAAGCCUGGGGACCUACUAAGUUCAAGUACUUGCUGCCAAGCCUGGGGACCUACUAAGUUCAAGUACUUGCUGCUAAGUCUGGGGACCUACCAAGUUCAAGUACUUUCUGCUAAGUCUGGGGACCUACUAAGUUCAAGUACUUGCUGCCAAUCCCGGGGACCUAAUAAGUUCAAUCCCAAGACCCACAGAAUGAGAGGAGAGAACAGAUUACUAUAAAUUGCCCUCUGACCUCCACACACAUUAGUUAAUUAAUUUAAAAACAUGCAAUAGAAGAAAGCACUUCUUCAUCGUGGUGCUCUGCCCAAGACAGCCACGACCGGGAACCAGCCCAUUCUUCACCCACCCUUUGCAAUCCAGAGAUAUCAUGGCAGAACGCAGACUAGCAAUGGCUACCUUACACAAGGUCAACUAACUUGGCUCUUUUUUAUGCCCAAGUCCCUUCAUUGCAGAAGUGGAAAGAACUGGAUCUUUGUGAUUGCGUGGGGGGAAGAGUAAGGGAGGGAGGCUUCAGAAGCGCUUAACCCAGUGUUGGGAUCAACUUAAGCAGCCAAGGUGUGGCUGAUUAAAGGACACCCCCGCCCCCAUUUCCUUAGGCAGCAGGGUAGAAGUAGCCUUACAAAAUGUACAGGUGACCCCUUCACGAACACCUUUGGGAGAAAAAAAAAGACCCAAAACCCAACAUGGUCAGCCAUGCUUAAAUUGGAAAAGUCCCCAUUCCCAAGACAAAGGAGACAGCAGCAAGGAAAAAGGAAACACACCUAUAAGGAAGCCUGGCUGUGUCAUCGGUUAUUCCGUGACUACACCUGAGUGUCCCAAACGCUUUGCAAACUGCUCCAGGCCUCCAUCACCCUUACCCUCUAGAGCUGGUCUGGCGGGUCUGCUCCAUUGAACAGUAGCGCCAUGUCUCCCGCACUGCAAGGUGGAAACUGCACAGACAUCUGUGAUCCUUCCCUGGACCUUAGCUGCAAGUGAAGCCAGCACUGUGCCUACAGUCAGCGCUACACAGACUCUGGGAUUGAUGGAGGAUGGCCCAGCCCAUGGUGGGUGGUGCCAUUGCUAGACUGGUGGCCCUGCAUCCUAUAAAGAAGCAAGCCCAGGCUUCCUCAGCUUUUGUGCAGGCUAUAUGCUACCAGGAUGGGACAACUCCAUGUAGUCAUGCACAUGAUCUCUGGAGCCAAGGAAAUACCAAGAUAAUGUGACUUUGAUGGUACCUCACAAAGCCUCCAUCUCCUGGAAGGUGCAGUAAGAAGCAGAAACCAACAUGGCUGAAAGAACAAAGGCAGAGCCAGCCAUGGUGAGGGGGCAGGCAGCACGAAUGGGACUUAGAAAUGGAGCCAAGGCACCAAGAUAACAGUCACUCUCUGGCCUGCUUUAUCAACAUGAAGAGACACUGAUACACAUCCUUCAGGGAACACAGAGUCUGCCACUCAGAGGGAACCAGCCUCACUCACUGAUUAUCUUCCCAAGGUGUCAGAAUUACACGGGAGUGGGGAGAACAAUCAGUUAAGCAGGAAGACAUAAGACAGUGCUCAAAUAGACGUAAAAACACAUGGGGAAAAGGUGCUUACUUCGAAUGGAUAUUUCUCCACACAGGGGAAGAAAAUCAAAGUUUUGCUAUGGGUACAAAUGGGUAAAAUGCUAUGAAAUAUUUUAGUAAAAUAUUUAGUGAAAUAUUUUAGUAAAAUAGAAAAUCAAGAUCUGAAAAAAAGAGCCACUCCGAGAAAACCAGUUUUACGUUUUAAGCCAUAUCCACCCUGACUUGUGUGUGUGUGUGUAACACGUAUUUGUUUUCCUAGGUUUGAAAAUGCAACCAUGCUUAUAUGCUGUUUCGGGCCAAGAGUGGAUAUAAAUUUUGUGACUCUAAAGCUUUAAACACGGGAAGGCUUUAGGGAAAUAUUUGAAGGUUAUGAAUGCAAACACACUAGGGAGAAGGGCUUUGCAAGCAGGGAGUUCUGGAAUUUAAGCUCUAUUAUCGUGAUGAAUAAAGUACGGUACUCAGUAGACUCUU
ensembl:lncRNA